rnacentral:rRNA from 1 species
UAGGGGAGCCGGAGGGAAACCGAGUCUUAACCGGGCGUUAAGUUGCAGGGUAUAGACCCGAAACCCGGUGAUCUAGCCAUGGGCAGGUUGAAGGUUGGGUAACACUAACUGGAGGACCGAACCGACUAAUGUUGAAAAAUUAGCGGAUGACCUGUGGCUGGGGGUGAAAGGCCAAUCAAACCGGGAGAUAGCUGGUUCUCCCCGAAAGCUAUUUAGGUAGCGCCUCGUGAAUUCAUCUCCGGGGGUAGAGCACUGUUUCGGCUAGGGGGCCAUCCCGGCUUACCAACCCGAUGCAAACUGCGAAUACCGGAGAAUGUUAUCACGGGAGACACACGGCGGGUGCUAACGUCCGUCGUGAAGAGGGAAACAACCCAGACCGCCAGCUAAGGUCCCAAAGUCAUGGUUAAGUGGGAAACGAUGUGGGAAGGCCCAGACAGCCAGGAUGUUGGCUUAGAAGCAGCCAUCAUUUAAAGAAAGCGUAAUAGCUCACUGGUCGAGUCGGCCUGCGCGGAAGAUGUAACGGGGCUAAACCAUGCACCGAAGCUGCGGCAGCGAACGUAUCACCCAAGACAACUUUACGGAGUUGACGAUUGACGGAGCGAAGCGACGUCAAAGCGUUCAUUAAAGUCGAGUUGGCUUAGGGAUACGUUCGUUGGGUAGGGGAGCGUUCUGUAAGCCUGUGAAGGUGUGUCGUGAGGCAUGCUGGAGGUAUCAGAAGUGCGAAUGCUGACAUAAGUAACGAUAAAGCGGGUGAAAAGCCCGCUCGCCGGAAGACCAAGGGUUCCUGUCCAACGUUAAUCGGGGCAGGGUGAGUCGACCCCUAAGGCGAGGCCGAAAGGCGUAGUCGAUGGGAAACGGGUUAAUAUUCCCGUACUUGGUGUUACUGCGAAGGGGGGACGGAGAAGGCUAUGUUGGCCGGGCGACGGUUGUCCCGGUUUAAGCGUGUAGGUGUGUGUUCCAGGUAAAUCCGGUUCACUUUAACACUGAGGCGUGACGACGAGGCACUACGGUGCUGAAGCAACAAAUGCCCUGCUUCCAGGAAAAGCCUCUAAGCAUCAGGUAACACGAAAUCGUACCCCAAACCGACACAGGUGGUCAGGUAGAGAAUACCAAGGCGCUUGAGAGAACUCGGGUGAAGGAACUAGGCAAAAUGGUGCCGUAACUUCGGGAGAAGGCACGCUGACACGUAGGUGAAGUGAUUUACUCAUGGAGCUGAAGUCAGUCGAAGAUACCAGCUGGCUGCAACUGUUUAUUAAAAACACAGCACUGUGCAAACACGAAAGUGGACGUAUACGGUGUGACGCCUGCCCGGUGCCGGAA